GUGUCAGCCGCCGCGGUAAUACGUAGGUGGCGAGCGUUGUCCGGAAUUACUGGGUGUAAAGGGCGUGUAGGCGGGAUUGCAAGUCAGAUGUGAAAUUCUUGAGCUCAACUCAAGCGCUGCAUCUGAAACUGUGAUUCUUGAGUGCUGGAGAGGAAAGCGGUAUUCCUAGUGUAGCGGUGAAAUGCGUAGAUAUUAGGAGGAACACCAGUGGCGAAGGCGGCUUUCUGGACAGUAACUGACGCUGAGGCGCGAAAGCGUGGGGAGCAAACAGGAUUAGAUACCCUGGUAGUCCACGCUGUAAACGAUGGAUACUAGGUGUAGGAGGUAUCGACCCCUUCUGUGCCGGAGUUAACACAAUAAGUAUCCCACCUGGGGAGUACGGCCGCAAGGUUGAA
rnacentral:rRNA from 1 species